rnacentral:rRNA from 1 species
GAUGAACGCUGGCGGCGUGCCUAAUACAUGCAAGUCGAGCGAACAGAUGAGGAGCUUGCUCCUCUGACGUUAGCGGCGGACGGGUGAGUAACACGUGGAUAACCUACCUAUAAGACUGGGAUAACUUCGGGAAACCGGAGCUAAUACCGGAUAAUAUAUUGAACCGCAUGGUUCAAUAGUGAAAGACGGUUUUGCUGUCACUUAUAGAUGGAUCCGCGCCGCAUUAGCUAGUUGGUAAGGUAACGGCUUACCAAGGCAACGAUGCGUAGCCGACCUGAGAGGGUGAUCGGCAACACUGGAACUGGGCCACGGUCCAGACUCCUACGGGAGGCAGCAGUGGGGAAUCUUCGGCAAUGGGCGAAAGCUUGACGGAGCAACGCCGCGUGAGUGAUGAGGGUCUUCGGAUCGUAAAACUCUGUUAUUAGGGAAGAACAAAUGUGUAAGUAACUAUGCACGUCUUGACGGUACCUAAUCAGAAAGCCACGGCUAACUACGUG